rnacentral:rRNA from 1 species
AGUGAACGCUGGCGGUAGGCCUAACACAUGCAAGUCGAACGGCAGCACAGUAAGAGCUUGCUCUUACGGGUGGCGAGUGGCGGACGGGUGAGGAAUACAUCGGACUCUACUUUUUCGUGGGGGAUAACGUAGGGAAACUUACGCUAAUACCGCAUACGACCUACGGGUGAAAGCAGGGGAUCUUCGGACCUUGUGCGAUUGAAUGAGCCGAUGUCGGAUUAGCUAGUUGGCGGGGUAAAGGCCCACCAAGGCGACGAUCCGUAGCUGGUCUGAGAGGAUGAUCAGCCACACUGGAGCUGAGACACGGUCCAGGCUCCUACGGGAGGCAGCAGUGGGGAAUGUUGGACAAUGGGCGCAAGCCUGAUCCAGCCGUACCGCGUGGGUGAAGGAGGCCUUCGGGUUGUAAAGCCCUUUUGUUGGGAAAGAAAAGCAGCAGGUUAAUACCCCGCUGUUCUGACGGUACCCAAAGAAUAAGCACCGGCUAACUUCGUG